rnacentral:ncRNA from 1 species
UGAUGAGGUAGAGGUUGCGACUUUUAUUAGUACAUGACCUGAGAUCCAGAGAAGAUCAGUGACGGCCAUGGAAAGGAAAAGUCGCCGAAGUUUCCCUGCAUUCUCUGGGCAGGGAUGCUGGGUCUGUACCCGAACAGGGGCAGAACUGUCACGCAUAUUCAUUUAAUAUGCGUGGUGUGCUAUCUUCAGG